rnacentral:lncRNA from 1 species
CUUCAAGAAAUUUUGGAUUUCUGACCAUUUUGAUUAUACCUUCUGGUUCCUUAUCUUCCUUGGAGAAAACCAUGGAAAAAUAAGUUUUCUAAUUCAUUUGCCAAAUGUUCUCAGUAAUAUGGGUUCUUUAUUUCAAAAAGUAAAAGUAAUCCCGACAUACCAGGAGUACAUGGACUGAACCACUCUGAAUUAUAAAUCGCAGUUUAUACAUUGAAGAAAAUAUAAGGACUACUGUACUUGAGGUUCUCAGAAAUCUCAUAAAUGAAUACAAAGUUACCAGACUUGCUGACAUAUAUCACAAGACUGGGAUUACCUUGGUCUACUUCAAAGUUUGGAGGCUGAAAAAUCUAGAUUUAGCUCAGUGGUUCCGGCACCUGCUUUGCAAGCGCAAGGUCCCAAGUUUGAUCCCUGGUACCAAAAAGAAAAUACAAAAACAAAGAAAGUCUGAAAAACUAUGACAGCUAAAAAAUGCUUAAGAAGACAUGAUGAUUACAUAUAACCUGGUAUCCUGAAUAGAAUCCUGGAGCAGAAAAAAGAAAAAGGUAAAAAAAACUAAGGUAAUCUGAAUAAGGCGUAGACUUUAGUAAUAAUGUAUGAAUAUUAAUUCAUUAAUUUAACAAAUGUAUCAGUAUCAAAAUAAGAUGUAAAGAAUUGUAAGAAUUUAGUGACAGGUAUAUGAGAAUUCUGCAUAUUUUAUUUGUAUUUGU